rnacentral:rRNA from 1 species
UGCCUCGGCGGGGUCACGCCCCGGGUGCGUCGCAGCCCCGGAACCAGGCGCCCGCCGGAGGGACCAACCAAACUCUUUCUGUAGUCCCCUCGCGGACGUUAUUUCUUACAGCUCUGAGCAAAAAUUCAAAAUGAAUCAAAACUUUCAACAACGGAUCUCUUGGUUCUGGCAUCGAUGAAGAACGCAGCGAAAUGCGAUAAGUAAUGUGAAUUGCAGAAUUCAGUGAAUCAUCGAAUCUUUGAACGCACAUUGCGCCCGCCAGUAUUCUGGCGGGCAUGCCUGUCCGAGCGUCAUUUCAACCCUCGAACCCCUCCGGGGGGUCGGCGUUGGGGAUCGGGAACCCCUAAGACGGGAUCCCGGCCCCGAAAUACAGUGGCGGUCUCGCCGCAGCCUCUCAUGCGCAGUAGUUUGCACAACUCGCACCGGGAGCGCGGCGCGUCCACGUCCGUAAAACACCCAACUUCUGAAAUGUUGACCUCGGAUCAGGUAGGAAUACCCGCUGAACUUAAGCAUAUCAAUAA